GUGCUACUUCCAUGGAACAUAUGCUAAAAACAUUGGAACAAUACACAGAAGAUUAGCAUGCCCCUCUGCAAGGACGACACUCACAUUCAUAAAGCACUGAAUGGGUGG
ensembl:snRNA U6 U6 spliceosomal RNA